UGGGGAAUAUUGGACAAUGGGGGGAACCCUGAUCCAGCCAUGCCGCGUGUGUGAAGAAGGCCUUAUGGUAGUAAAGCACUUUAAGCGAGGAGGAGGGUACUGGUAUUAAUACUACCAGGUACUGGACGUUACUCGCAGAAUAAGCACCGGCUAACUCUGUGCCAGCAGCCGCGGUAAUACAGAGGGUGCGAGCGUUAAUCGGAUUUACUGGGCGUAAAGCGUGCGUAGGCGGCUAAUUGAGUCGGAUGUGAAAUCCCCGAGCUUAACUUGGGAAUUGCAUUCGAUACUGGUUAGCUAGAGUGUGGGAGAGGAUGGUAGAAUUCCAGGUGUAGCGGUGAAAUGCGUAGAGAUCUGGAGGAAUACCGAUGGCGAAGGCAGCCAUCUGGCCUAACACUGACGCUGAGGUACGAAAGCAUGGGGAGCAAACAGG
rnacentral:rRNA from 1 species